GCCUCGAUAGUACAGUGGUUAGUACACCCGUCUGUCUGGCGGGAGACCGGGGUUCGAUUCCCCGUCGAGGUG
rfam:Glossina brevipalpis unplaced genomic scaffold Scaffold62, whole genome shotgun sequence.